UACGGAGGGUGCAAGCAUUGAUCGGAAUUACUGGGCGUAAAGGGCGCGUAGGCGGUUCAGAAAGUCAGAUGUGAAAUUCCGGGGCUCAACCCCGGAGCUGCAUUUGAAACUCCUGAACUAGAGUUCAGUUAGGGUAAACGGAAUUCCACGUGUAGCGGUGAAAUGCGUAGAUAUGUGGAAGAACACCGGUGGUGAAGACGGUUUACUGGGCUGAUACAGACGCUGAGGCGCGAAAGCAUGGGGAGCAAACAGG
rnacentral:rRNA from 1 species